AGUCGAACGAAAUCUUUAGGGAUUUAGUGGCGGACGGGUGAGUAACGCGUGAGAAUCUGGCUUUAGGUCUGGGACAACCACUGGAAACGGUGGCUAAUACCGGAUGUGCCGAAAGGUGAAAGGUUAACUGCCUGAAGAUGAGCUCGCGUCUGAUUAGCUAGUUGGAAGUGUAAUGGACUCCCAAGGCGACGAUCAGUAGCUGGUCUGAGAGGACGAUCAGCCACACUGGGACUGAGACACGGCCCAGACUCCUACGGGAGGCAGCAGUGGGGAAUUUUCCGCAAUGGGCGAAAGCCUGACGGAGCAAUACCGCGUGAGGGAGGAAGGCUCUUGGGUCGUAAACCUCUUUUCUCAGGGAAGAACACAAUGACGGUACCUGAGGAAUAAGCAUCGGCUAACUCCGUGCCAGCAGCCGCGGUAAUACGGAGGAUGCAAGCGUUAUCCGGAAUGAUUGGGCGUAAAGCGUCCGCAGGUGGCAAUGUAAGUCUGCUGUUAAAGAGUCUAGCUCAACUAGAUAAGAGCAGUGGAAACUACAUAGCUAGAGUACGUUCGGGGCAGAGGGAAUUCCUGGUGUAGCGGUGAAAUGCGUAGAGAUCAGGAAGAACACCAGUGGCGAAGGCGCUCUGCUAGGCCGUAACUGACACUGAGGGACGAAAGCUAGGGGAGCGAAUGGGAUUAGAUACCCCAGUAGUCCUAGCCGUAAACGAUGGAUACUAGGCGUGGCUUGUAUCGACCCGAGCCGUGCCGUAGCUAACGCGUUAAGUAUCCCGCCUGGGGAGUACGCCGGCAACGGUGAAACUCAAAGGAAUUGACGGGGGCCCGCACAAGCGGUGGARUAWGKGGUUUAAUUCGAUGCAACGCGAAGAACCUUACCAAGGCUUGACAUGUCGCGAAUCUCGGUGAAAGCUGAGAGUGCCUUCGGGAGCGCGA
rnacentral:rRNA from 1 species